rnacentral:snRNA from 2 species
AUAGUUUCUCAGCCUUUUGGCUAAGAUCAAGUGUAAAAUUUUAACUGUGACUAGCCUGACUUGAGUCAAGUGCAUUUCUCAGAAUCAGCUAUGGCUGAGAAUAGAAUGUGUAGAUGUUUAGACUGGUUUACUCUAAAUUCUUUAUAUUCCAC